CCUGCGUUUGUCCUCUGUGCAGGACAACCCUCAUUCUCUCAUCUGCCCCGCCAUCUCCUCUGCAGUUGCCACAAAAAUGUCGAAUUCGAUCUCCCUUGCCCACUUCAAAAAAAAAAGAAAAAUCUCAUCUAUUAUUUCAAUCAGGGGGGGCACAUACCCGAACACCUAUACCCCUCCCCCCCAGGCAAUAUUAAUAGUCACAAUCUUUAGUUAACUAUAACUAACAAUGGCUAUAACAAUCAUCACCACAUCACCAUAACCAUUAAAAAUCAGCUCCUCCCCUUCCCUCUCCAAGAACAAACCCGCAACCAACCCCUGCGUCACACAAGGCGGUGAGAACCCCCCGGGCUCGGCAUCCAUCCUGCCAGCAAGCCUGAACGACUCCUACUACAUGGUAGUUGUGGUCAUCUAGAGACUGUAGUCGAUUUUCAACCUGCGUUGUUCAACUCCACACGCAGUCGUCCGAACUAGUACUCCGUAGUUUUUGAUGGUGAUGAUGUGUUCAACGCGCCGCCCCUCCCCCCACAAAAAAAACCAGCA
rnacentral:sRNA from 1 species